rnacentral:rRNA from 1 species
UAGCGUAAGAGAGGGUGCAACCAAAAGGCGAACUUUUUUAAUACAUGCACUCACCUGCGCUAGUGCAAGAGAGAGAGCGAGGGCUUUCUUGGGUGUGGUUGGCCGAGGGGACCGGGAUGGGGAGGGCUAGACCAGCUACGGUGUUAGAGCGGUGGCUUAGGCCGCAACGGGUGGAGGAGAAGGUUAGAACACUCGACGUCAGGCGGUGGUGGCUACGGCGAGCCAAUGGCAGGCCUUGAACGGUGAACGCUACCAGGCUCCGGCGGCUUCGGCCGCUGAAGCUUCGUAGGCGGGCCUCGAUGAAGCGGGAGCUGCAACUCCUCCCUCACCCGGAUUCGAGGACCAGAGGGUCCCGGGCGGCGGCGACCCGAGUAUGUACCGCGGCUAGGCCAGUGGCCGGUGACGAGGGAGAGUCAAGCACGAGGGAGGAUGGAGUGGAAGGGGACAAAAACAAGGCGUCCAAGAACUCCGGUCCACGCCCGCACGUGGUUGAUCGCUGAGCCUCUCCUCGAAACCGCCGGCUCCGCCCCUCGAACAUGUACACAAGGACAUCCGACAUGAUUACUUCCUUCUGUUCGUUCAGCAGCUAACGACGUUAACCCGCCAUCCCUUCUAGCCUCAGUUGGUCACACUGCCAACAGUUCCGUUGUCAUUGGAAGAUUUCCUGGAAGAUAUCAGAGGACGGUUGCGGCCUAAUCUAGCUCCAGCGCCAACUAAACCACUUAACGCGCAUGGAUCCCGACUUGGCUCUUGCGACCCUCCCUAGCGGAGUACUGCGAGCCUCUUGAGCAGUGUGAGCCGUCGGGGUUCGUCGCCGGGUUUUGUAGAAGUUCAAGUUACCUAGUUCUUCCAACAAGGACAACGACUACACACGACCAAUAUUGAACCUAAGGUACCUACUACUACUCUAAGACCGCCAUCACAAAAGUAGACUAUAGAAACUAUAAAAUAAAUGACUUAUUGGAAGGAUCUUAGUGUAUUCGUAUAGCGGAAUAGUACAGUAUCACGUCGACUUGGACUCGCAUUAACGUCCGAUAUCGAGAAAUAAUAGAUAUAUAUAACUUACUGACUUACCACUGUGAUAUAACUUGAGCAGUUAAGAAG